UGGGGAAUAUUGGACAAUGGGCGCAAGCCUGAUCCAGCCAUGCCGCGUGAGUGAUGAAGGCCUUAGGGUUGUAAAGCUCUUUCGCCGGUGAAGAUAAUGACGGUAACCGGAGAAGAAGCCCCGGCUAACUUCGUGCCAGCAGCCGCGGUAAUACGAAGGGGGCUAGCGUUGCUCGGAAUCACUGGGCGUAAAGCGCACGUAGGCGGAUCGUUAAGUCAGGGGUGAAAAUCCUGGAGCUCAACUCCAGAACUGCCCUUGAUACUGGCGAUCUCGAGUUCGAGAGAGGUUGGUGGAACUCCGAGUGUAGAGGUGAAAUUCGUAGAUAUUCGGAAGAACACCAGUGGCGAAGGCGGCCAACUGGCUCGAUACUGACGCUGAGGUGCGAAAGCGUGGGGAGCAAAACAGGAUUAGAUACCCUGGUAGUCCACGCCGUAAAACGAUGGAUGCUAGCCGUUGGGGGGUUUACCUCUCAGUGGCGCAGCUAACGCCUUAAGCAUCCCGCCUGGGGAGUACGGUCGCAAGAUUAAAAACUCAAAAGGAAUUGACGGGGGUCAUAGCUG
rnacentral:rRNA from 1 species